GCGGCCGGUGCGGCGCGCUCGCUCCAGAGCUUGCCGCGUGUUUUAAACUGACUGCCGAGUUGAUUGCUUGAUGACGUGACAUCGAGAUUUCAAAUAAUCUGUUAGACUGCGACACCGAGGCAACUAUGUGAAAGUGCAAAAAUAUCGCCAGGAAGGCAGAGGACACGUCAAACCUGGUACCGGAAGAUGAUGCUGUGUAGAAGCGAAAGAGACGUCUUUCCCCAGAGAUUUAGCAAAUCUUCUAGUGAUUCCGGAAGUGACGCUGAUCUUGAAUCAGUUCGGACCCAAGAAAACAACAUGUACACGGAGGAACGACUAAGGCUGUGGCAGCAGAGUUACCAAUGCCGAAACUGAAUGCGAAGUCCAAGUCCACAUCGCAUUUUUCAGUUCCAACCCACAACUCCAGCAAGGGCUCGGGCUUCGGAAAGCAAUUUUCAAGUGCAGGUACUGUGUACGCUGCAGAGGCUGGAGGAAGGGCAGCAGCAGCUGACGCAGUUGGUACAAAAACUGCUUUUGUCCAAAUUGGGAGCGGCCGUUGAUGUGGAAGACCUGAGGGAGCCGUUUACCGAACCAGUGAACACCAAAUUUUCAUUCAAGGUAGAUUAAGAUACCUUCAUUCAGGGGCAAUGCAAAAAUCCUAAAACUCAUAUUGAGACCAAAUUUGACCAUUUCAGCUAAUAAUGGAGAAACUUUAUCAGCGACAUAACAGUUUUGUUGGUGCAUCUUUUUGGAUUGAAUUGCCAACAUCUUGUUGAGAAUGCAAGACAAAGUUGUAUAGGUCUGUAAAUUUACUACUUUUUGUAAGGAUGCUGAAACCGAUGGCCCGAAUUCACAAAGGAGGUUUGAGCUCAAACCUUGGUUUUCGUACGUCAUAUGACGCGUUUUACGCGUUUUUUACAAACCUGGUUUGUAAAGAACAAAAGGAGGUUUGGCGAAACAAAAGGAGGUUUGAGCUCAAACCUUGCUUUGUGAAUUCGGGCCAAUGUGUGUGCUGCCAAACUCUCUUAUAACCUUGUCUUCCAUAUUCAUAGACCCUUAAAUUUGAGUAUUCAUAUUUGCCUGUUAAUAAUUCAUAUCAACUAAUUUCUAUCAGUUUAUUGUAAAUAGCUUUUUGUAGAUUGUUCAUGUGUUUUGUGUUGAUUUUAUAUUUGAAGUAAGAUGCAAGGUCCAAUGCAAGGCUUCUGGGAAAUCUUGACCUGCCCACUUAAUCUUUGGUCGAUCAAAAGGACAAUUUUGUACUCGGAUUUAAAGGGGAAAUCUACCCUAGAAAUUUCACUGCUUCAAUCAAAGGAGACAAAUUUGAACAAAA